GAUGAACGCUGGCGGCGUGCCUAAUACAUGCAAGUCGAACGCAUUGAGAGAAGUGCUUGCACUUUUCAAUUUGAGUGGCGAACGGGUGAGUAACACGUGGGCAACCUACCUGAUAGCGGGGGAUAACGAGUGGAAACAUUCGCUAAUACCGCAUAACAAUAGAGAAGGCAUCUUCUUUAUUUAAAAGGCGCUUUCAAGCGUCACUAUCAGAUGGGCCCGCGGUGCAUUAGUUAGUUGGUGUGGCGAAGGCCUACCAAGAAGAUGAUGCACAGCAGAGUUGAGAGACUGAUCGGCCACAUUGGGACUGAGACACGGCCCAAACUCCUACGGGAGGCUGCAGUAGGGAAUCUUCCACAAUGGACGAAAGUCUGAUGGAGCAACGCCGCGUGUGUGAUGAAGGCUUUCGGGUCGUAAAGCACUGUUGUAUGGGAAGAAAUGCUAGGCUAGGAAAUGAGCUUAGUUUGACGGUACCAUACCAGAAAGGGACGGCUAAAUACGUGCCAGCCGCCGCAGUAA
rnacentral:rRNA from 1 species